rnacentral:rRNA from 1 species
UGGGGAAUAUUGGACAAUGGGGGCAACCCUGAUCCAGCAAUGCCGCGUGGGUGAAGACGGCCUGCGGGUUGUAAAGCCCUUUAGGCGGGGAGGAACGGUGUCGGGCGAACAGCCCGGCGCUCUGACGUUACCCGCAGAAUAAGCACCGGCUAACUCCGUGCCAGCAGCCGCGGUAAUACGGAGGGUGCGAGCGUUAAUCGGAAUUACUGGGCGUAAAGCGUGCGUAGGCGGUCCGGUCAGUCAGCCGUGAAAGCCCCGGGCUCAACCUGGGAACGGCGGUUGAGACGGCCGGGCUGGAGUGGGCUAGAGGAUCGUGGAAUUCCGGGUGUAGCGGUGAAAUGCGUAGAGAUCCGGAGGAACACCGAUGGCGAAGGCAGCGAUCUGGGGCCACACUGACGCUGAGGCACGAAAGCGUGGGGAGCAAACAGGAUUAGAUACCCUGGUAGUCCACGCGGUAAACGAUGGGCACUAGACGCCGGGGGGGUGACCUUUCGGUGUCGCAGCUAACGCGCUAAGUGCCC